AUGAAUUGUCUCUGGCUGGCGCCGAUGACACUGCUAAAAAUCGGUGUCCCUGCAAAGCGAGGUAGGAAAAAUCGAUGGCGAGCCCAGCCCUCUCCCUGGCGUGCACCACCCGUCAGCCCCUGCCUAGCCAGCAAGCUCGCGACCAUUUCGAGCUCGACGCACUGCGACUCGAGCGAGCGGGAGGGGGAGGGGGCAUCCCGUCCCCGACGCGGCCGACAACGCGCUCACCGCCGCCGCCUGCGUCGGCUCUCGUCGGACAAGCGACAAUCUCACCUCCUGAAUCGAGGUGCGCCUCUGCGCCCUGCCGUCGACGCCGGCGCCUCCUCUGUGCGGUGCUCUUCUCCCCGGCCACGACGCGACCCUGGCCACCACGACCACUCCUGUUGCUCGCAAAUGGUUGCGCCCCCACCACCACCUCCCCGCAGUACGGACGCGCCACCACCUCCCAACCAGAGUUGA
rnacentral:rRNA from 1 species